rnacentral:snRNA from 1 species
CAGUGAUUUCAGCUCUUUUAGUAUUUGUCCAGCAGUCCCUCGCGUAGCGAGGGGCCCCA